AGGGAUGACGAUUCGAAAACCGCAAGGAGAAUUUGUUGUUCAUACGAACCGGAGAAGUUCCUGUAGAAGUCUCAGGCGAGGUCGAAGUGGCGUCCUAAGUUGUCUCAAAAUGGCAGUUUUGAAACAGACUGAAGUUUCGAAUCAAGAUAAAUGGCACUAGUGAAGCUAGGAUCAUCUUAUUAAGGCUGUAUCACAUGCGUCCUUUCCCCUCUUGCCCUGAAGAAAAGGAAAUAAAGAGGACAAAUGGCAGCUAGAAAACUUGAAGUGGGGACGCCGAGCUUGGUAGCGCACGUUUACUUUGCAAAAACACGCUGACAAAAAAGUUUUGAAGUGUUCUUGAAGGGAGUCACAUAAUAUUAUGCAGGCGAUAGCCUGUCAACAGAACCUCAGUGCAAUUUCGGAUGAAUCUACGCGUACAUCCCCAUAAUCCCCAGUGGCGCAAUUGGUUUGGUUAGCGCACUGUACUUAUACGCGUAAAUCCCCAAAGAACAUUCGCCGAAGUUGGCUUCGCUGCAGUAAGACGACUUGUGCGGCGAAGCCCACUUUCGCAACUGCGAAUAACCGUGCAGCGAGCGAUGGAACGGGAAAUGAUAAGUGUAACGUUAAGGAGACGUGAAGACGACAGUAUGGACUGACGAGCGAAUGGUUGUUGUUGAUGUUAUAGUUGAGCUUAACAAGGACAAGUGAAGUUUGACAGGCCAUGUAAUGCUUAGAGAAGAUAACCGGUAAUGUAUUCGAGUAGCAGGAUAGUGUACUAAGGGAAGGUAAACGCAGUAAAGGACGGCCUAAUAUUACGUAAAGUAGUAGAGGGGAGUAGAAAAUUGGCACCCACUUUAUAGGCGUCGGCUGGAACAAAAUUGCAGAUCCUUUGGGGAGGCCUGCUUCUUGCAGUAGACAUAAAAGAUGGAGGGGACAAUGAUGAUGAUGUAUGCGAAACCGAGCUUAUCGAAGACCGUACGAGCGAAGUGAAUGAGGUAAGUGCGGAGGUUGCCGCAAGAAUAGAGGUAAAUAUCGAGCAUUUCGUAAGCUAUCCGAUGCCUGUCAAAGAUAGGCGCUAAAGGCAGCCGGAGGCGAGCAGGAUAUCGAACGCUUUGGAAGGAAGUGCUAUGACUGGGCGCACUUUGUUUCGAAAGGUCAUAUGCUGUCAGCUGCCGAUUCCUCGCACAGUACUCACUAAGCAAAUUUCCGCCUUUGACGGAGACAGGCGCUUCUUUUACGGCAAACGCCAUUGAAAGGUGCUGCUUCACCUUAAGGUGCGACAUCCAAAGGCAUUAAAGUGUUGUAAGGUGCGAAGUCGCCGAAUGUCUAAUUAAAACAAAGAAAUGAACAUGUGCUGGCGUGCUUGCGUAUUUCGAAGAUCGCGUAAUUGAAGGAUGUCCCAAUAGCUAUUAUUUUACCUUUGAUACCAACUUAAUCUCAACUCGCAUUUCAUUUCUUCUUCCAUUUAAAAUACGUACAAUAUAUUAUAUUGUUGCUGCUCGAUUCUUGGCCAAUCACCCAUAGAAUCUAUGUUCCAGUGCCGCAUAAGGGGCUACUGCUACUACUGUCCCAGAAAAGCUCAAACACGAACCCUACCGCGGGCCUACGAGGACACGUAGGAGCGGGGUUUAGUUUACUUGGUAUGGACAACGCAUUGAUUUCUAUCCGACUGCUUAGCCCGCUUGAAGAACCGCUGUUCUUUUCAAGGUUGAGAUGCACCAUCUCUUAUGCACCAUCUCUGAGAGAGUUUGCUACCACCGGUCCCGUUCUCUACCCGCGUGUACCUCGAAAGCCCACAAGCCCGACACAAACUCGGUAGACCCACGGGAUGGUGCACUUAAACGAUAUCUGAGGUGUUGCUCAAACGCGGCGCAGUCGUCAGCAUAUGAUACGGACACGUGUCGAAAGCAAAGGUCAGAGCAUUAAAGGGGCACUAAAGAGAAGCGAUAAGUCAUCUUAGACUGAUAAAGUAUCUGUUCAAAACUAUAUUUUCGCGGAUUUCGCGCUAACGUGGUUUAUUGUUAGGCGAGUUUAAUUUCUUUAAUUUAGCGCGGAAACGCGAGUGCCUGUGCUUCAGUGUGACGUCAUGAAUUUCAAUGUCUCUCUUUCCUUAUUUUUUCUCGUAUUUGUGCCGUUGUGGCUCAAUAAAAGCUAUUUAAACUUGCUAAGUUAAUUCUGCGGGACUUCUAAAAUACCAUGCAUACCACCUUUUCAGAUUAAAAGAAAAUUGCCUGAGCCCGUGCAGACGACGUCAAAAUCCACGAUGUGACGGCGAGCAGGUACGGGAACUUCACGGCGGCGUCGCGACACGUCUUCUCUGGCUCACCAAGCCUCUUAUCGAGCUUGUCUGACGUGAACUAUGACACACGGUAUGAAGGCGACGCAGUGACGACGAUGGAAUGACGAAGGAGGGUGACGUCACUGGAACUUCAAAGACAUUAUUACAACGAGAUGGCGAUUCUGGAAUGAUGACGAUGGUACAGUGACACUUUGAGGACUGGUGUACGACGACGAUGGCGCGAUGACGACUGUAUCACGAAUGGAGUGAUGACACUCGGAUGACGAAGUUAGAAUGACGACGGUGGAACGGCCACAACGGCAUGACGAUGGCAGUAUCCAGGAUUUGAGGCAUUCUGUCCAGGGAAGAAUACAUCGCGUACGUGCAAGGACACCAAUGGCAGACGACAUCUUUGAAUGGAGGUUUUCGACAUGUACAUUCCACACAAGGUGCUUUGAAAAAUGUAUUUCAAGGGUUUUAACAGAAUCCACCAACUCUAACUGCUGAGAGGCCAAAAAUAAAUUAAACUUCUUUGUCGGCGUUUUUCCUUUAGGCGUGUACAAAAUAACUUGUGUUUUUGAAGGGUUUAUUUUUAAAAAAUUCACCGUGGCCUAGGCAUCUAGGUUAGACAGCGUUUUGUUAGCUUGUGACACUCGUCUCGUUCAAGUGCGAGGUAUUACGCGCACGCGAACUAAUUAUGGCAAUGAAAUUCUGCGAUUUCCUUUGCCGAUUCAUUUGAAAGAACUAAUAAUUUUAAAAUAUCGAUUUUGUACGUUGUUGAACUGAAAACUGAUGUACUAUUUUGUUUAUGCCCCUUUAUCGCUUUUCUUAUGCUAUCGCUGAACUAAUGUUUGUUAUACCUUUUUUAUACAGAGGGAAAACACGGAGAUGGCGGGAGAUGGAAACUCAAGACGAUGAGCAAAACGAGAACAAGGUAAAUGUUCCCUUGAAAAAGGCAAAUCCACUCGUCGAAACGUUGGCUCCCGCUUUUACCUUGCUCUCGUCUUGCUUAUGGUUUUUUUUUUGUAUUGAGGAAUUUGGUCCAUCUCAUUUGUAUUUCUUUAUAUAUUCUAGCCUUACUGCUGAUGUUGUGCUGAUUGCAAUAUAGUGUAUUCAUCGCCUGCUUUAAUGUUAGACACCGUACAUUGUAAUUAUGCUUAUAUUGUAUACGUACUCCGAAUAUGUCCGAGAAAACUGUUUGGUUUAUUAUGCGCAAUUUCUUAUUUUGUUCACGUUAAAUGAAUCUUUGCAUUGCUGUAUCUAUUUUUCCCUGUCAUUUGUGCUCGGCAGUCGUCCUAGUCGAGCCCGUGUAGCGCCUUCCAUGGUGGCCCUGAGCACGCCGAAUGUUGGAAUAAAGGUUUAUUUGAUCUGCCUG
rnacentral:lncRNA from 1 species